AGUCCAGAAGGAAAUUGGAAAUCAUGUGGAAAAAUGCUUUACCUUACUUAUAGUCAAUGAAGUGUAAAUUAAAAUGGCAGGGAGGUAUAGUUUUAUACCUAUCUAAUAAGUAAGCAUCUAAAAGCUGUUGUUUUCUUUUUUCUAAGGACAGAAACAAGAUAAAUUCCUGCAAUUCAGAAUAUCUUUUAUGUUGAAGAUGCUCAUCCCUCUGACCAUGUGUGAUGGACUGUAUAGAGAAAUUCCUGCACAUGGGAUUUAGAGCUAUGUAUAAAUAUGUUCACUGGCACAUUGUUCAAAGUGGCAAAACAUUAGAAACACCCAGAGUGGUUUACUCUUCAAGAGCAAUGAUUAAACAGAGUUAUGUCAUGAAAUUCUAUAUAGCAACUGAAAUGAAUAAAUUCCUCAAGCUUUUCCCCCCACCCCAGGGGAGAUAAAUCUUAGGAAAAGAGUGACAGCCAUUUUCACUUAUUUUGCCUGGAUUUCUGUUUAUCUUCAUUGCCAUAUACUUUUAUUUAUUUAUUAAAAAAGUUUUGCAGUGCUGGGAAUCUAAUUCCAGGUUUCACCUAGGCAAAUGCUCUACCACUGAGCUACAUUCCAAGCCCGUAUAUAUAGGCUUGGAUUUUCACCAUUGGAAUCAAAGACAUUUUGUUUUAAUUAUAGUUUUCCAACUCUGCUACUUUUUUGUUCAUGUACAAUUUUUUAAAUUAUUCUGUUUGUAGUCUUUAAGUGACAAUGAGACUUUUAUAUAUCUGUAAAUGAUGUGCAAGUUUCAUCCAAGGCAAAAGAAAGGAUUACAUCCUUUGGGUAGUCCUCCUUUUUAUUACCAUUAUCUUUUUGUUAUAAUUUUCAGUCAUAUUAAUUAUAUAGUGGGUUUCUCAGUGACAUUUCCACAUAUGAACAUAUCAUGCAUAGAAUGUAUCUACCCUCCCUGCUACCAUUUAUUGCACUCCCCUCUUCAGUUGAGUUUAGAGGGAUAGUGAUAAAGAAAAACUUGUUAUAAUGAUUACAGUCUAUGAGUACCAUUUAAUCACUAUCCUCAUUACCAAUAGAUUUUCAGUCUAAGUGUUAUGAAAAUUAUAGGGAGUAAAAUCACCUGUAGAAAAUAUCAAAAUUUUUUCCCAGGAUUUUGACAUGUAUGGUUAACAUCUUUAUUUCCACCAUAUUAAAAUAUUUGAUUUCAUUUUGAUGUUUCUUGAAAUUACAGAAAUCAAAAUGUGCACAAAAAGCUCACAUGUGAAUGUUUCAUAGCAGUAUAAUUCUGAUAGCCAAAAAGUGGAAACAACCCAAAUAACCACCAACAAAUGAAUGGAUAAGGCAAAAAUGAUCUAAUCAUAUAAUGGGACAUUCAGCCAUAAAAAAGGAUGGCAUACUGUUAAUUUUUGCUACUACCUGGAUGAACCUUGAAAGGAUUAUGGUAGGAUAGAAGAAGACAGACUCAAUAGACUAUUCUAAGAAUCUAUUGAAAUGAACUUUCCAGAAAUGGCAUAUCUAUAGAGUCAGAUAGCACAUCAGUGAUUGCCUGGAGAGUUGGAUAUGGGAAUGACAAGCAAUUGCUAAUGGGCAUGUCAUUUUUGGAUAAAAGAAAUAUUAAAAAUGAUGGAUGCAUAUCUCAGGGAAUAUAAUAAAAAUCAUGGGAUUUCAUACUUUAAAUGUGUGAAUUGUGGGGCUGGGGAUGUGGCUCAAGCGGUAGCGCGCUCGCCUGGCAUGCGUGCGGCCCGGGUUCGAUCUUCAGCACCACAUGCAAACAAAGAUGUUGUGUCUGCCGAUAACUAAAAAAUAAAUAUUAAAAAUCUCUCUCUUUCUCUCUCUCUCUCCCCCCUCUUAAAAAAUGUGUGAAUUGUAGGAUGUAUGAAUUAUGUCUCAAUAAGAUGUUGAAAACAUGGAGUAUAACUUAUUCUAAUUAGGAUCCCAGUCUUGUGGUCGUAUAUGAUGUGACAUUUCACUUGUGGUAUAUUCAUAUAUGUACGUAGGAAAGUUCUAUCUGAUUCAUUCUACUGUCUUUCCUAAGCCAUUUCCCCUCCCUUCCCUUCAUUCCCCUCUUUCUAAUCCACUGAACUUUUAUUCUUCCCUUCCUCCCCCACUUACAGUGUGUUACUAUCCGCAUAUCAGAGAGAACAUUCGACCUUUGUUUUUGGGAUUGACUUAUUUCACUUAGUAUGAUAGUCUCCAGAUCCAUCCAUUAGCCAGAAAAAGUCAUAAAGUCAUUCUGUUUUUUUGACUAAGUAAUAUUCCAGAAGCUGUAAGAAAAUUUAACUUCCUUUUUGUAAAAUGUACUCUGAAAAAUGACUGUGUGGCUUGAAUGCAUUACAUGGAUAUUAAAUAUAUGCAGUGAUAGAACUUAAAAAAAUAAGAUGCUAAUUAUAUGGCAAAUAAAACUAUUAUUGUGUGAAGAAAAAUCCAUCAUUCUCCCCACCACCUUACCAUAUUCAAAUCUCUUCAUCUAAUAGGCAACGUAACCAUGCAUAGUUUGGGGUCAAUCUUCCCAUGCUUUUCUUUAUGCUUGUAUAGCCACACAUAUGCAAGCAUGUAGUUUCCUCCAUUUACAUAUUACAGAAAUAAAACAACACUACCAAUGACACUGUGAACCCUCUUAGCUCACUUCCUACUGGGUUUUAGAGACUGGUACUGGCACUGGGAAACUGUGUACCUUGAAAAAAAUUGUUUGAACCCUUUGUGCAUCAAUGUCCUCUUUUAUAAAACAUGAAUAAAAAUGGUAACUAUGACCCAAGGAUUAAUUGUGUUAAUAUGUGUAAGUUCUUAGAAUAGUGCCUGUUACAUUGUAAGCACUAUAUAUAUUUUAGGUAUUAGUUUUCUUUCUAGAAGUAGUUCAUCUAAGAAGACAUUUCCCACCUUUUGGAAAAGAGCUCUCUUUUAUAACUAUUUUGUGAUAUUUUUCUUAAUUGUAUGUAAAGUAAGAUCUUGUAAGGUAAUACUGUUUUAAAUGUUUCUAAUAUAUCCCUUUAUUGUUUUAUGCUUUCUGAAUAAAAGGAGAGACCUUUAACUUUAUA
rnacentral:lncRNA from 1 species